GAUGAACGCUGGCGGCGUGCCUAAUACAUGCAAGUCGAGCGAACAGACGAGGAGCUUGCUCCUCCGACGUUAGCGGCGGACGGGUGAGUAACACGUGGAUAACCUACCUAUAAGACUGGGAUAACUUCGGGAAACCGGAGCUAAUACCGGAUAAUAUAUUGAACCGCAUGGUUCAAUAGUGAAAGACGGUUUUGCUGUCACUUAUAGAUGGAUCCGCGCCGCAUUAGCUAGUUGGUAAGGUAACGGCUUACCAAGGCGACGAUGCGUAGCCGACCUGAGAGAGUGAUAGGCGACAGUGGAACUGAAACACGGUCCAGACUCCGACGGGAGGCAGCAGUAGGGAAUCUUCCGCAGUGGGCGAAAGCCUGACGGAGCAACGCCGCGUGAGUGAUGAAGGUCUUCGGAUCGUAAAACUCUGUUAUUAGGGAAGAACAAAUGUGUAAGUAACUAUGCACGUCUUGACGGUACCUAAUCAGAAAGCCACGGCUAACUACGUG
rnacentral:rRNA from 1 species